rnacentral:lncRNA from 1 species
GGUCAAAAUCAAUGGCAGUCUCUAAAAGCCCAAAUUGUAUCUCCACUUUAACCAGACAGUGCGUUUAAAAUCUCAACAUCUUCGCGCGCUGCUAAGUCGACCUCUUUCUUUGGCAGAAAUCCUAACGCCCCAGAUAAUAUCAACCGAUCAGCUCGCCCAAACACCAUUCGCUACGACGUCCUCCGGUUCUAAGAGCAAGUCCAUCGGAGCCAACAUUGCCCAGCACCCAGUCCAAAUAUCAAGCUGAGGGUCAGUUCAUUUACUCCAACCUACAAAGUUGCCUGGCACCCAGCCCAAGCCAGGCAACAGACCAGUCCAUUUUUGACAGACCCAAGAGUCGGCC